GACGAACCGAGCGAACGUUGUUCGGAAUCACUGGGCUUAAAGGGCGCGUAGGCGGGUGCUCAAGUCCGGGGUGAAAUCCUCCAGCUCAACUGGAGAACUGCCUCGGAUACUGGGCGUCUCGAGUGUGGUAGGGGUAUGCGGAACUAUCGGUGGAGCGGUGAAAUGCGUUGAUAUCGAUAGGAACUCCGGUGGCGAAGGCGGCAUACUGGACCACUACUGACGCUGAUGCGCGAAAGCCAGGGGAGCGAACAGG
rnacentral:rRNA from 1 species